UGUCCAAGGAUGGGAAUCGAACCCACAGUGUUCUGCUUACCGGGCAGAUGCCAUGUCAACACCUGGGGACUAUUUUGGUAGUCAGGUGGUGGCCACACAGGC